GGGGCUGGGAACGUCGCCUUGCUGGGAACCGUAAGUGGGGCAGCUGGACGUUCCAGCAGCUUCCACCUCUUGCCAGUGAAACGGCUCUGAUUUUUGAAAGCGUGUUUUGUACCUCGAAAGAAUAGACACGAGGCACGCUUUCCCCGCCCCUGGCACUCGCGUCGGGGACGUGGAUCCAAACCCUUUGCAAUUGGGCCACGACGGAGCCAAGACGUCCGCGAGCUGCCCGCGGGGAAGGGCUGGGAGCCUUUGCGAAGUGCUGGGGAAAAGCUGUGCAAUUUGGCCCGUGCUGGGAAGACACGGUUCUGGGUACGCGCUGAUGAGCAAAGGGGACGGCAGAAAGCAAGGGGCCCGAGUGGAAAAGAUGCGGUUUGCUGCAUAGGGACCCACAGCCGCGGGUCGCACGCCUUCCCCACGAACGCUCCAAACAGCCUUGCCCUGCUGUGCACACAGACACACACACCUACACCCUGUGCUGUCCCGGGGGUAACACCGGCACGCCAAACACGGCAGUAAACACACCUUCGCCAUAGCUACGGAGCAGCCCCGCACCUGCCCCGCGGGGAGCCGCAUCCGGAGCCGAGCGCUGUUUGUGGCGUUGUCCUGGGAAACGGCGCUCGCUGCGAGACACCGAGGGGUGGGACACGGCUUUACGGGAGCACGGUGGAUGCAUAGCUCAAAGGAAAGCUAUGUGCGAAAGGCAGGUCGUGGGCACGCAGGGGAAGGGGCCCCCGAGGUGUCCAACCCCGGCGCUGACUGAUGUUGUACGACCGAUGCUGCAAACCCUGCGCGGAUGGGGAUCUGCCCCUCCUGGGUCUGACGUUUUCCCCCAUCUGAGCCCGAGAUGCCUCGAGUGGUGCCUGUCACAGCCGUGGGGAGGCUGAGGGCUGUGCUCAGCCCUGCCUGGCUUUGUGUAGGCUGAAAUGUUCACUCCACUUGCCCAUCCCUCUGCUCACCAAGUGCCUCAUGUUCAUCUACUGCUUAUCUUCCAGGCAGUGCAGUCUUCAUCUAAAGGAGGAAGGUAACUCCAGGCCACGGCGCUCGCCCGGCGGUGAGCGGGGCGCGUUGGGUCGGACCUUUGCUGGGCUGCUUUCAUCCUUCCUCACUCUGCUGCGAGCUUUCCAAGCGCUGAUUAAGAGGUACCACUGCUGCGGGGCGUGCUGUGCCUGGGUGGAUGUAGCUUUCAGCACUGAAACGCAGUGUUUACUGGAAGGCUCCGCCGUUGUUCUCGAUCGGGACUGAUUCCCUGCCAGAUGUCAGCUCUGACCCCCAGCAGUUUCAGCAGCAGAGCCGCCUGAAAAUUGGAAGAUUGUUUUGUAUUCUUGCAAGAAAAAGAAAAAAAAAAAGAAGGCAUGUUUAUUGUGUAGAUAUUGCUUUUUCCUGCCUUCCUACUCUGAAACGGCCAAGGCGUGUUUGCGGAGAUUCGCCUUCAAUCGGCCUUUGUGCAGAGAUAGAGGCUGGAAAAUCUCAACCCAGGAGGAGAGAACUGAAGCGAGUUGUGGGCAACCGAGCGCAGCGAUGUAAGCGGUAACGCUCAGCCAGCACAUGAACUUUGGACACCGCUCGCGCUCCGGUUUGUGUCUGCAGCACAGAGGGGCCCUAAGGAAAAGGCGGUGGAGAGCCAUUAUCUCGCAGCCAGAUCCUUGUGGUGUUGAGGGGAAACAUAUAGCAGGGCUGGGCUGCUGCCUCCUCCCCGCACGCCCCACAGAUGCCAGUCGACGUCUCCCAGAGCGCUGAUAAUCCCGAGUGUGAGUCAGAGCCCAAGAAUCACGAGCAGAGCUUCAAAUUAAGUCUCAUAUUAAAAAAAAAGAAAAAGAAGAAAAAAGGAAGAAAAUCACGUACGGAGUACGGUUUCUCGUGUUCUGCUUUUUAGGCUGGAAGGUUUGUGCCUGCAGCUCUUCUAUGCACCCAGAAGGGCUUUGCAUUUUCCUUGCAGAGAGUGAAAUCUGAGUCUGCCCCAGUCCUGUGACUGCAGGAGAUGGGGAUUAGCACAAGAGGAGCGAUGCGCUCACUGGUUCUCAUGAGGCCAUGGGUGCAGAGGUGUCCUUGGCAAAAGGUGCCCUUGCAGAGAGCGGCAGCUCCCCACGAGGUCCCCAAGAUGUGUUCUGUCCCAUUCCAAGGUGACCUGAGCCUGGAAGGGACCUGCUGAGACAUGAUGACACGCUGAGUUGAGUGCCCUGUGCCAAAGCUCCCAUCAAGGACUGGGGUUGUUCUGGCAGCAAGUGGAAAAGUGAGUGUUGGG
ensembl:lncRNA